GAUAAACGCUGGCGGCGUGCUUAACACAUGCAAGUCGAACGAAGUUUUUCCUUCGGGAGACGCUUAGUGGCGGACGGGUGAGUAACGCGUGGGUAACCUGCCCUGUACAGGGGGACAACAGCUGGAAACGGAUGCUAAUACCGCAUAAGCCCUUAGCACUGCAUGGUGCAUAGGGAAAAGGAGCAAUCCGGUACAGGAUGGAACCGCGUCUGAUUCGCCAGUUGGCAGGGUAACGGCCUACCAAAGCGACGAUCAGUAGCCGAUCUGAGAGGAUGUACGGCCACAUUGGGACUGAGACACGGCCCAGACUCCUACGGGAGGCAGCAGUGGGGAAUAUUGCACAAUGGAGGAAACUCUGAUGCAGCGACGCCGCGUGAGUGAAGAAGUAUUUCGGUAUGUAAAGCUCUAUCAGCAGGGAAGAAAAUGACGGUACCUGACUAAGAAGCACCGGCUAAAUACGUG
rnacentral:rRNA from 1 species